rnacentral:rRNA from 1 species
AUGAACGCUGGCGGCGUGCCUAAUACAUGCAAGUCGAGCGAACGGACGAGAAGCUUGCUUCUCUGAUGUUAGCGGCGGACGGGUGAGUAACACGUGGAUAACCUACCUAUAAGACUGGGAUACUUCGGGAAACCGUAGCUAAUACCGGAUAAUAUUUUGAACCGCAUGGUUCAAAAGUGAAAGACGGUCUUGCUGUCACUUAUAGAUGGAUCCGCGCUGCAUUAGCUAGUUGGUAAGGUAACGGCUUACCAAGGCAACGAUGCAUAGCCGACCUGAGAGGGUGAUCGGCCACACUGGAACUGAGACACGGUCCAGACUCCUACGGGAGGCAGCAGUAGGGAAUCUUCCGCAAUGGGCGAAAGCCUGACGGAGCAACGCCGCGUGAGUGAUGAAGGUCUUCGGAUCGUAAAACUCUGUUAUUAGGGAAGAACAUAUGUGUAAGUAACUGUGCACAUCUUGACGGUACCUAAUCAGAAAGCCACGGCUAACUACGUG